rnacentral:SRP_RNA from 1 species
GGAGGUUGGCUGGUGGACGGGCCACUUCGCCAACCCGGUCAGGUCCGGAAGGAAGCAGCCGUAACGAUGUUGGUCCGGGUCGUCUGUCCAAUCUCCUGC